rnacentral:rRNA from 2 species
UUUAAAUUGAGAGUUUGAUCCUGGCUCAGGAUGAACGCUGGCGGCGUGCCUAAUACAUGCAAGUCGAACGAAACUUCUUUAUCACCGAGUGCUUGCACUCACCGAUAAAGAGUUGAGUGGCGAACGGGUGAGUAACACGUGGGCAACCUGCCCAAAAGAGGGGGAUAACACUUGGAAACAGGUGCUAAUACCGCAUAACCAUAGUUACCGCAUGGUAACUAUGUAAAAGGUGGCUAUGCUACCACUUUUGGAUGGGCCCGCGGCGCAUUAGCUAGUUGGUGAGGUAAAGGCUUACCAAGGCAAUGAUGCGUAGCCGAACUGAGAGGUUGAUCGGCCACAUUGGGACUGAGACACGGCCCAAACUCCUACGGGAGGCAGCAGUAGGGAAUCUUCCACAAUGGGCGAAAGCCUGAUGGAGCAACGCCGCGUGGGUGAAGAAGGUCUUCGGAU